UAGUUAUCGCACUAACACAAACGAAUAGGUUAGGCAAAGAAUGCUAGUACAAAAAACCUUUGACCUUUUCUUUGAAUUUCGCCAAAGAUUUCGAAGAAUUUCUGCAGACAAUCUUCGCACGAUCUCGACCCCGGCACAAGAAUAACACAAGGCCAGCUUCUUCCAUCUUGAUGCACGGAGGACUCAAUGAACUGAGUCUAUUUGGUGUCUCUUGUCUAAUGCUUUCGCUUCUAGCCAUGGUUCGGAGAGUUCGAGCCUUGCAAGGAGUCCAGAGUAAUCCUCCCAGCAGAAAAAUAUAAAAUAACGAAACGAGGAGAAAAACAAAGUGAAAAAGAACUGAAAUCACAAGACGCUGUUGGAUGAGAUGUGUUAGAAUUCAAGGAACAUCGUCACCGAGAAAUCGUAGCUCAAAGUCUCACAUCGCGUAGGAAAUUUAAAGAAUCGAUUCUACAUAUAUUGUCUCUCAAAUUCAAGACACAUGCUGAACUAUUCUCAUAAAUAGCUAAUGAUGUACGUAUUUGGUUGCACAGAGUUGGUGUUUUUUAAUAAGAUCCUUUAAUGGUUUCUCAUGUCAGAGCUAAUCAAGUCUUAGGCUUACAUAUAACCAUGGUAACUAUGCUUUGAAAUGAUAAAUAAUAGACGCUUGAAAGAGAUGGCUUUCAAAACAAAGAAGAGGAAUAUUGAAAACUUGAUACAGAAUAACACAGAGAAAGAAUAAGUAGAAAGGUGUGUGCAUGUUUUUAAUAUUUAAUGACAAAAAACUGACAAAUAUUAAGUUUCUUUGUUAUUUUCUCGUUAAAGUUUCUUCGUUUUCUAAUAGCUUUUUGUCAUAUAAAUGCCAGAAAAAUCUUUGAAACGCAUUUGAUUUUGCCAGUGCAUAUUUAAAUAAGCAUUCGAAAACGAGUUUUCAGACCUCAUUUUUAAACCUUAAACAUUCCUCCAUCAUAGACUGAACUCGUUCUUACAGGAAAACUAAUAUGGAUAUGAGAUGAAUUAUUAAGUAAGUUAUGACAGUUUUCAUAGAGACUCUAGCAGAUGCAGAUUGAUGGAUCCUGAAAAGACACUUGGACAGUCUUGUAGUACUUUACUGGGGAAAAAUAGGAAGGAAGGAAGAGAGGAAGGAAGAGAGGAAGGAAGGAAGAAGGAACGAAAGAAAAACAGACAGACAGACAAACAGAAGGAAGGAAGAAAGGAAG